UCGUAAAGGGUGAUGAGUGGUGUUUGGUUUGUUACGUGUGGUUGGCUGCGGCGUUUGCAACAACUUCCAUGCUUUCAGACCUCUUCAGUUGUGCGGCAAGGCUUGUAUCGCCUUGAGCGUAUUGUGGGUUUUCUGUGUUGGCUACCUAAUCAACGGUAUCGGUUGGAUUGAUCAAAGUUUGAUUUCGUCUUCCGUCGCAUUYGCGGCGUGAGGUGAACCUCGAUGCGGUCUCUUUGAUCCACCUCGUCGAAGCACAUGCUUUGACGUUGUGGCCCAUUGAGCAUUGCUUGGUCUCUUGUAUACGGAACAUAUAGUGGGCAUGGAUCUAACGAUUCUCGUUUGCCCUCAUAUUAGCGUAACGCUUCUCUUACACGACUUGCUCCACGUUUUAGCUCGUACGGACGUGGUGCUAUGUCGAAGAGGAAUGCUACCUGGUUGAUCCUGCCAGUAGUCAUAUGCUUGUCUCAAAGAUUAAGCCAUGAGGKUGUAAGUA
rnacentral:misc_RNA from 1 species